rnacentral:rRNA from 1 species
UACGGAGGGUGCAAGCGUUAUCCGGAUUCACUGGGUUUAAAGGGUGCGUAGGUGGGAAUGUAAGUCAGUGGUGAAAUCUCCGUGCUUAACACGGAAACUGCCAUUGAUACUAUGUUUCUUGAAUUAUCUGGAGGUCAGCGGAAUAUGUCAUGUAGCGGUGAAAUGCUUAGAUAUGACAUAGAACACCGAUAGCGAAGGCAGCUUGCUACACGAGUAUUGACACUGAGGCACGAAAGCGUGGGGAUCAAACAGG